CCCUCUCACACAGAGAACCUCACAUCUUCUCACUUCACCGAGGGCCCUCACCACCAUUCCUCACCUUCGUCGGACAUCGCCACCGCUGCAAAUCACCACCGCCACCGGCCUCCGCAAUACGAACAGGUUUGAAGAAUUUGAAUCUCGCUUUUCAUUCUUUGAAAAGCUAAAGCCAACACUUCCAAGUAGCUGAUCACCAUUCUGCUUAUCACCUCAUCUCCAAACAUCUUUGCCUCUAUUUUCUGCUAUUGGAGACAUAAAUAAAAUUCAGAUUGAUCUUAAGAUAGUCAAAAUACCAAGUCAACGUUUAAUAUCCAUCAACAUAUUAUGAGCCAAAACAAUUGACUAGAACUUCCUAUAUUGAUUGAUAAUGGAGGUUAAAUAGGCACAAAGGAUAGUUAUAGCUAAACCGGUUUCUUCAAGGCCUUCUUGCUCCACUUUUAGGUCCUUUUUCGAGCUCCUAGCCAGUGCUAUUGAUUCCUCACCCUCUAAUGCAUGUUCUGAAGCUGCAGUCGGUGCCAUUAGACCAAAAACUGUGAGGUUCAAGCCAAUGGUGAACCAUCAUCCUAAACUUUCUUCCCAGCUUGUUGUCCAUACAAGAAGGUGGCAGGGUUUGAAUUCAGAUGGAAAAUCCACUGUGGUUUACAAACCGUUGGCGAAGGUUAUAUGAAAGACAACAUUGUCUCUCUUGGCAAAUCUGGUGGAUGAUAUGCUGGAGGAAACAGUUCAGUUUCUUCAAAAUAGAAAUGUCGGUGUUGUGAUCCACAAUGAAUGAAACUUCAAUGUCCUCUGUGUUCGUGGGUGGUGUAAGGCCUUUUGGAGUUUCACUGCUAGUUGCUGGCCAACCGUAACAGGUCGAACUUACUCAGAAUGGGUAAUAGACUGAGAGUAUGAUUGGCCUCCUAAAUGCUGCCUAUGUCAUGCUGUGAUUGAAGAGGGGACCGAUCCUCAAACUACUCAAUUGGGUUGCUUGCAUAUGUGAUCAUGUUGCAUAUUGUCAAACUUCAUACAUACAAAUUUUUUCUUUACAUGCAAGCUGGCUGAACUUGUAUUGAAUAACUUCUUGUCUCUUAUUUGUUUUGUAUAAAAUUAUUAUUUUAAGUUGGAAUAUACUUAGUUUGUAUGCAAUGUUGACAUUAAAAGUUAUUCUGUUGUUUGGAUGGUUGUAAAUGAAAUUAAUACAGA